rnacentral:sRNA from 1 species
AAUUAGCCCUGAUGGCAGUGAAAAUCCUUUUUUUGAUGGAAAAAUAUGUUUUACCUCUAUUUUUUUCAAAAAAAGAUUGCAACGUACAGCAGGAAAUACG